rnacentral:snRNA from 1 species
GUGCUCACUUCAGCAGCACAUAUACUAAAAUUGGAAUGAUACAGAGAUUAGCAUGGCCCCUGUGCAAGGAUGACAUGUAAAUUUGUGAAGCAUUUCAUAUUUAA